AGAUUGGAGUCUCUGACCUGUGACGCACCCGCGACCCGACCCGGCCGGCGCUCCACCGUCCGGCUACCUCAGGCCACCGCGAGGGCACCUUCUUCUUCGCCUCUUCGUCGCCGUCACGCAGGUGAGCUCAGAUCGUCCAUGCACCCGACGAGAAAGAAGAAUCGACGGUGGGAAUGUCCGACUGCUCCGGUGAGUUUCUGCAAAUUCCGGCGAGCGAUUUGGCUGUAUGUGUUGUGACUACACUUGUAGAGAAGAUAUUGUGAAGCUUUCUGGGUUGUGGCACGAGAAAUCAUCAAUUCAUCACCAACCCAGUUUCGGCAGCAAGCUUUGGGAAACAAAGUUUUUGUUACAACACCAGAAACUAACAAAGGUAAACUAGAGAAGCAAACCUGGAAUUGUGCGGUUUGAUUUCGUGUGCAGAAUGGGCUGUGUGUGUCUUGGUAUGAAUUGAUUGAAUUGUGAGUUGAAAUUGAAAUGGACCGGUUAUGAGUUUGACAUUGUUAAAGUUGUUUUAUUCUGGGUGUUUGGAUUUUAUGCUUGAAUUGAGAACUCAGUUUGGAUGAUCAAUGUAUGUUUUGGUAUUGCAAUUG